GACAGAGGCCUCAAGCGUUAGGCGGAAUCACUGGGCUUAAAGCGUGUGUAGGCGGAUCGUUAAGUGUCUUGUGAAAUCCCACGGCUCACCCGUGGAACUGCUGGGCAUACUGGCGAUCUUGGGCCAACUAGGGGCAACUGGAACAAGCGGUGGAGCGGUGAAAUGCGUAGAUAUCAGGAAGAACACCCGUGGCGAAGGCGGUUCUCUGGGACGGUACUGACGCUGAGACGCGAAAGCGUGGGGAGCGAACAGG
rnacentral:rRNA from 1 species